AUAGGUUAAGUUAAUAAGGGCGCAUGGUGGAUGCCUUGGCACUAGAAGGCGAUGAAGGACGUGACUAACUACGAUAUGCCUCGGUUAGCUGUAAGUAAGCUUACCCGGGGGUUUCCGAAUGGGGCAACCCGAUCUUAAUGAUCAUCAUCUUUUUGAAUUCAUAGAUUAGAUGAAGCAAACGCUGUGAACUGAAACAUCUAAGUAGCAGUAGGAAAGUAAAGAAAUUUCGAUUCCGUCAGUAGCGGCGAGCGAACGCGGAAGAGCCCAAACCUGGAUGCUUGCAUCCAGGGGUUGUAGGACUGAUGUUGAGUUACAAAGGUAUAAGAUAGCAGAAACAGUUGGGAAGCUGUUCCAAAGAGGGUGACAGGCCCGUAUGCGAAAUCUUGUACUCUCUAAUCAGGAUCCUGAGUACGGCCCAGCAC
rnacentral:rRNA from 1 species